UAGGGAAUCUUCCGCAAUGGGCGAAAGCCUGACGGAGCAACGCCGCGUGAGUGAUGAAGGUCUUCGGAUCGUAAAACUCUGUUAUUAGGGAAGAACAAAUGUGUAAGUAACUAUGCACGUCUUGACGGUACCUAAUCAGAAAGCCACGGCUAACUACGUGCCAGCAGCCGCGGUAAUACGUAGGUGGCAAGCGUUAUCCGGAAUUAUUGGGCGUAAAGCGCGCGUAGGCGGUUUUUUAAGUCUGAUGUGAAAGCCCACGGCUCAACCGUGGGGGGUCAUUGGAAACUGGAAAACUGGAGUGCAGAAGAGGAAAGUGGAAUUCCAUGUGUAGCGGUGAAAUGCGCAGAGAUAUGGAGGAACACAGUGGCGAAGGCGACUUUCUGGUCUGUAACUGACGCUGAUGUGCGAAAGCGUGGGGAUCAAACAGG
rnacentral:rRNA from 1 species